rnacentral:rRNA from 1 species
GAUGAACGCUAGCGGCAGGCCUAACACAUGCAAGUCGAGGGGUAACUAGAGUGAUAGCAAUAUUACUUUGGCUUGACCGGCGCACGGGUGCGUAACACGUAUGCAACCUACCUUAUACUGGGGAAUAACUUCGAGAAAUCGGCGCUAAUACCCCAUAACAUUGCGAAGAGGCAUCUCUUUGCAAUUAAAGCUCCGGCGGUAUAAGAUGGGCAUGCGUCCAAUUAGCUAGUUGGUGAGGUAACGGCUCACCAAGGCUACGAUUGGUAGGGGUUCUGCGAGGAUGAUCCCCCACACUGGUACUGAGACACGGACCAGACUCCUACGGGAGGCAGCAGUGAGGAAUAUUGCGCAAUGGACGAAAGUCUGACGCAGCCAUGCCGCGUGCAGGAUGACGGCCCUAUGGGUUGUAAACUGCUCUUGUACGGGAAUAAACCCUUCUACGUGUAGGAGGCUGAAGGUACCGUAAGAAUAAGCACCGGCUAACUCCGUGCCAGCCGCCGCCGUAACAC